rnacentral:rRNA from 1 species
GACGAACGCUGGCGGCGUGCUUAACACAUGCAAGUCGAACGAGAGGAGAAGGAAGCUUGCUUCUUUCAAAUCUAGUGGCAAACGGGUGAGUAACACGUAAACAACCUGCCUUCAGGAUGGGGACAACAGACGGAAACGACUGCUAAUACCGAAUAGGUAGCAGACAAGCAUUUGACUGCUAUUAAAGUGGCCUUGGCCAUGAACAUGGAUGGACCUGCGGUGCAUUAGCUGGUUGGUGAGGUAACGGCCCACCAAGGCGACGAUGCAUAGCCGGCCUGAGAGGGCGGACGGCCACAUUGGGACUGAGACACGGCCCAAACGUCCUACGGGAGGCAGCAGUAGGGAAUUUUCGCAAUGGGGGAACCCUGAACGAGCAAUGCCGCGUGAGUGAGGAAGGUCUUCGGAUCGUAAAGCUCUGUUGUAAGAGAAAAACGGCAACUCAUAGGGAAUGAUGAGUGAGUGAU